UACGAAGGGGGCUAGCGUUGCUCGGAAUUACUGGGCGUAAAGCGCACGUAGGCGGCUUCUUAAGUCGGUGGUGAAAUCCUGGAGCUCAACUCCAGAACUGCCUUCGAUACUGGGAAGCUCGAGUCCGGGAGAGGUGGGUGGAACUGCGAGUGUAGAGGUGAAAUUCGUAGAUAUUCGCAAGAACACCAGUGGCGAAGGCGGCUCACUGGCCCGGUACUGACGCUGAGGUGCGAAAGCGUGGGGAGCAAACAGG
rnacentral:rRNA from 1 species